rnacentral:rRNA from 1 species
AGUGAACGCUGGCGGUAGGCCUAACACAUGCAAGUCGAACGGCAGCACAGUAAGAGCUUGCUCUUACGGGUGGCGAGUGGCGGACGGGUGAGGAAUACAUCGGAAUCUACUUUUUCGUGGGGGAUAACGUAGGGAAACUUACGCUAAUACCGCAUACGACCUACGGGUGAAAGCAGGGGAUCUUCGGACCUUGCGCGAUUGAAUGAGCCGAUGUCGGAUUAGCUAGUUGGCGGGGUAAAGGCCCACCAAGGCGACGAUCCGUAGCUGGUCUGAGAGGAUGGUCAGCCACACGGGAACUGAGACACGGCCCAGCCCCCUCGGGGAGGCGGCAGGGGGGAUUGUUGGACAAGGGGCGCAGGCCUGACCCACCCAUCCCGGGGGGGUAAAGAAGGCCUUCGGUUUGUAAGCCCUUUUUGUGGGAAAAAAAAAGCAGCAGGUUAAUCCCCCGGUGUCCUGAGGGUCCCCAAAAAAAAAACCCGGGCUAACUUGGUG